UACGGAGGGGGCGAGCGUUAUUCGGAAUUAUUGGGCGUAAAAGGGCGCGUAGGCGGCUGUACAAGUCAAAGGUGAAAUUCCUCGGCUCACUGAGGAACUGCCUUUGAAACUGUACGGCUUGAGGCCGGGAGGGGGUAGCGGAAUUACCCAGGAUGUAGCGGUGAAAUGCGUAGAUACUGGGAGGAACACCAGUGGCGAAGGCG
rnacentral:rRNA from 1 species